rnacentral:tRNA from 1 species
GCGGCAAUAGUAUAAGUGUAGUAUCUUUGUCUUCCAAACAAAAGGUCCUAAAUAGGUUGCUGUA